UACGGGGGGGGCAAGCGUUGUUCGGAAUUACUGGGCGUAAAGGGCUCGUAGGCGGCCAACUAAGUCGGACGUGAAAUCCCCAGGCUCGACCUGGGAACUGCAUCCGAUACUGGAUGGCUUGAAUUCGGGAGAGGGAUGCAGAAUUCCAGGUGUAGCGGUGAAAUGCGCAGAUAUCAGGAGGAACACCGGUGGCGAAGGCGGGUCUCUGGGCCGUAACUGACGCUGAGGAGCGAAAGCGUGGGGAGCGAACAGG
rnacentral:rRNA from 1 species